rnacentral:lncRNA from 1 species
CUCUCUCUCUCUCUCUCUCUUUCUUGAUCAAUCAAUCUUGCUCAUUCUAUAUCUGCGGCUCUCUAUAAUCUAGACUCACUCUCUGUAUCUCUUGAUCCUUCAAUCUCAUCGAGAGUCUUGAUUAUUGAAUCUGAUCGAGACUCUGUCUCUUCAGUAUCAGUAUCGAUCCCAUCUGACAAUCAGACGUUCCUGUCGCGCUGAAUCUUCUCUUCUUUCGCUCAGUUCGGUGAGUUUUGUUUCUUCAUGAUCUUGUUUCAGUUCUAUAGUCUCAUGGUGUUUGUUUGAUGAUUUGUUUCAGUUCCCUUGUUUGAUUUGUCAAUCUAGUACAUAUUGUUUCAUAUAGAAAACACUACUAUUUUAUGUCUUCUUUUCUAUUGUUAUGAUUCAUGAUUGGUAAUCUGUGAAUCAUAGAUAACAUGUGAAUCAUAGAUUUCAUAGAUUGUUUCAUGAAAGAAGUAGUUUAACUCAUGUAAUUGAGUAGACCAAUCAAUAUAACACAAGCAGUUCGUCAUUGCUUAAUAAGUCUACUAUUUUUUCGUAAUUUUCUACUUUAUAUACAGUACACAUCUUAAUAACAAAGUAAUCGUAUUUACUAAUAUUGAAGUUGAAACACAGAUACAACCAGCGAUGGAUGCGUCUGAGAAUGGAAAACAGCCGAAUAAGAGUGUAGAGGAUGUAGCAGUAGAUGUUCCCGGAUUUGGAAGCCUGACGAUCACCGAUGUGCGAGCUUUGACCUUCGAAACAGUGGAUGAGGCAGAGAGAUUCUACCCUGCAUAUUCAGCAGCAGUUGGAUUUGGAUGUAGGAAGGAUGACAAGGAAGAGUCUAACGGUUUGAUUUGGUGGAGGCAGUGGGUCUGCUGCAAGGAAGGGACUCGAGAUAAAAAGUACUUGGAAGUAGAUGGUUUGAGUCGUACUCCUCGAAAACAGAUUAGGGUGCAUUGCCAAGCUAGAUUUCAGAUCAAUUACAAUGAUGGGAGUAGAGUUUAUAUGGUGAAGAUAUUUGUUCCAGAGCAUAAUCAUGAACUAGCUACUGGGAACCAGAUUGCAUUCGUUCGUGCUCAUCGUCAUGUCAGCGACGCAGUUUUGGCUCUGACAAACACAAUGACAAAGGUUUCAAUCAGACCAUGUCACAUGUAUGAGUAUAUGGUGGAGCAUGUAAUGUCCCGUAUCUCAUUUAUAAAUUUACUAGUCACCAGGACGGUAAUUAACGACUUAAUUCACAUUUCCUAUCGUUUUGAUACAUUAGAAGAUCAAAAAGGUGGAAAUUUAUUUGGACGUUGAGAUUAGCAUUUGAGCUUAUGUUCAUCUUUUGGGCCUCUCUAUUUUUGGUUGGGUCUAAGUUGUAGACGAGAAGUGAUUAAAGACGUUUUGACGAAAAACGAGUUAGAAACCCGAAAAAGAACGACUAGAACAUUCCAAAUAGUUUUGUCACAAGGGUAAACUGGUCUUUUUGCAUUGGUAUUAAAAGAAAGAGGGGAAACCCUAACUCUCAUUUUUCCCCUCUUCCUCUCAGUCGCUCUCACCCUCUCUCCCGAACUCUCUCUUUCGCUCUCUUCCUCUGCUAGAGCCGAAAACGAUAGCUCCAGCCACUGCCUCCUAACAUCACCCACACCAAACGUCUUGAAUCCCUGACUCACACUAUGAGUAGACCAACUCUAAAGUGUCCAAAAUUCACAGACACUUGAAGAAUUCUUGAGAGGUCUACCUGUUUACGAAGCCUGGUCUGCUUAUUUACGAGUACGGGUCUACUUUUUUUGUGAGACAAAAUGGUCUACCUGUUUACGAACACUAACCUACAUGUUUUGUGAACGUGGUGUACCAACGCUUCGAACCACUGACUCACACUACAAGUAGAGGAAGAAUAAAGUGUCCAGAAUUCACAGACACUUGAAGAAUACCAGCGCUUCAAACCAUUGACUCACACUACGAGUAGACCAACUCUAAAGUGUCCAGAAUUCACAGACACUUGAAGAAUUCUUGAUAGGUAUACCUGUUUACGAAGCCUGGUCUACUUAUUUAUGAGUACGGGUCUACUUUUUUUUGUGAGACAAAAUGGUCUACUUGUUUACGAACACUAACCUACCUGUUUUGUGAAAAUCCAAUUAUGUUCAAACCCCAACCCAAAUAUAUGGGUUACAUUGCCACAACCAGCCAUCGAUGCCAAUCACCGUAGCCCCACUGCCUUGACUAGUCGAGGUGUUACCUUUCCAACGAUCUGUCUAAUCUCCACUCUCUAAUCAGACAGAGCAGACCAGCGAACCCAAACCAUCGACCUCCAGUUCGGGCUAGGGCCGCUGCGUCAUCGUCGCCGUCUUUGCUCUGUCGUCUCUGGCUGCUAGACUGCUCAAUCGUUCUAAAUAGGUAAUUUUUCAUACUCACCUUUGAUUUAGAGCCUCCAAGUUGUUUUAGACUGCGAAGCCUUAACCCACUGUUAUUAAUCUGGCAUGUGAGGUUUGUUGUAUUUGCGAUCUUGGAGUCUAGAAGGAGUUGCUGGGUCGGUGGCAUCCAUAUUAUAUGUGGUAAGGACUAUGCUAAGUUUUUGUUAAUAAGAAUUUUGGUUGAUGAUUGUGGUAUGAGACUUAGUAGUCCAUGGGCAUUGUUUUGGACAAGACUUGAUUAAGAACUGAGUAUAAUAAUGGUUGUUGCUGCUAUUAGGUAUAUUAAAUCAUGAUGGUGAGGGAUGAGCAGCAGCCUGUUUGGCCAAUGGGAUAAGAAGAAUGGUAAGGUCUUGGGCAUUUGGAAUAUAUGUAUAUAUAUAUAUAUAGCUGAGAUUGAAAUGUGUAGCUGAGUUUGUGGUGUCUCUAUGUGUGGGAAAUAACCUUUGGUUGACAGUAGACUAGGCUAAUUUGGAUGUGCCUACGAAAUGUUGCUUUGAUAAAUAAGAAUUGGGUAUUACAAGAGACAAUUGAAUUUGUUAAAUCGGAGAAUAUGAUUUUCUUUAAUGGAGGGUCAUGUUACUGGCUUAUUUCCUUAAGAAGUUGGCCGAAUAAAGAAUGUGGGUAAUAACUAUUUUGAGUGAGAAUUUGGAGAAGAAAAGAAUGGUUGUUUUGAAUCAACUUGCACUCGACCGGUCAAAUUGAGUAUAUCUUUUAGCUAGGGCAAGUAAAUGGUCAAUUACUGGUUUUGAGCAAGGCUUUACGAUAUCGUUUCUUGUUAAGGUUUCGUUCCAGCAUACUUAGAUUAGAAUUGAGGUGGUAAUUAAAUAGAAAGUGGAUCGUUGCAGGACGGUAGGGAGCUUGACUUGGGAAGCCUCGCCUUGGCAACAUAACUGAAUUACUGUGAGUGGACAUUUUGGUUUUAAAUACAUGCAAGAUUUUAUCAUUUAUUAUUUUAUUUUCCGAGCUUAUAUUAUAAUUUCGGUUUAUUAAUUUAACUUUAAAUCCAUAAUCUCAAAAAAAUAGACAAACUAGCCCUGCUGGUUAAUCAAAUACGGAAACGUCGUCGGAAGAGAUAAACCAGUCCCGCUGGUUAAUCAAAUACAUAACUGAGAAGAAUAAAAUAAGGGGAAUAGUUAUCACCAUGUAAAAGGAGCCUCCCAAGCUAUAAUAGUGUCCCACGCUAAGCGCUCUACUCACCUAUAGUGAGAACUGCUAAUAAUGGCUAGCUAACAAAUAAAUAUAAAUACCAAUCGGUUGCCUCCCAGGUUAUAAUAGCGUCUCACGCUAAACGCUCAGCGCUCUACUCACCUAUGGUGAGGACCACUAAUAAUGGUUAGCUAGCAAUAAUUAAUAUAAGCGACCCUAUAUUAUGGUGACUAAAAACAUACGAAAUCACUUAAAUCCAUUAAACUUCCCCAAGAUCAUACGAAUGGUACGGUUCCCAACCAUACUUGAAAAUCAUCAUAAGAGAUUAAAAUAAACUCAAUGACGUGUCCCACACGUCAAAAAUAUUCUCAAG